GAUGGGCGGCCACUAAGUACAUCUUCUGAACAUGCCUGCUGUGUGUUCCUCUCAGGGUGACUGCAGAGGUCAAACACAACCCGACCAACACCAUUGUGUGCAAGGCCCAGGGGGAGUGGAACGGAACCCUGGACUUCACCUAUAGCAGCGGGGAGACCAAAGUGAUUGACACAACCAAACUGCCAAUCAUCAAGAAGAAGCUCCGGCCUGUGGAGAAGCAGGGACGGAACGAGUCCAGGCGGUUAUGGCAGCAUGUCACCAAGUCACUGAAGGAGGGGAACAUUGACGAGGCCACGGAACAAAAGCGGCGUCUGGAGGAGCGCCAGCGAGGGGAGGAGAGGCAGAGAGCUGCAGUCAACUCGCCCUGGACACCCAAAUAUUUCAGUAAAAAGGGAGAAGAUUGGAUCUACCACAACCCCCUGUGGAAAUCUCACUGACACAAGAACCAGACUGCUCUAAUGGACACUAAGAGAGCCUCUAUCCCCCUAAACGAGGGGCCAGGCCAGGAUAAGGAUGGAACUGCCACUCGCUCUCCAUUGGGACCAGAGAUACUGACUCUUAAUGACAUGGACCACGGUCCCACUCAUGGGAAUCAAGUGGUUUCCACUUGAACUACGAGGGUGGGAGAGACCGAUGUAGCUUUUUUAUAGUGUUCGAGGUAGAGAAUUUGAAUUUCUUACUUUGCCAGGGCCUUUUGCAAAUGCACAGUAUGACGUGAUUUGCCACUGGUAUUUCUUUCUGGUUGUGCUGACACAUACAUGAUCCUUUUCGGUUCAAACGCCUUUAUUUGUCACGCAGCAUCAGAAUGCAAUGAUAGGAAGAUGGCAAAUAUGCUUGUGUUACAUUAGUUCCCAACAAAUGCUGUUGACUAGGAGCAGUCUCUCAUCACUUUGUUGCUAUUCUAUCCAUGCAGCCCUUUGACCAUUCCUGAAAUGACUCUGUUCUUCCAUGCAAUACAGAUUUCCCAUCACCCUUUUACUUUACACAGUCAACACUCCAUUGGAUCCCAUCUUCCCGAGAGGUGUUUCCUCCUUCCAGGGACGUGUCCUUAGGUUGGCAUUGAUAUAACAUAAUUAAGCUGGAGCUGUACCCAGCUCACGACUCAUGCUAAUAUCUCAGUGGGCUGCCUCUGCGUCUAAUAUGGAUAAGUCACAACCCCAUUCUCACAGAGGGGCACUGUCUCUCUACCUCAUAUCCUGAAUGACAUGUGGUGGUAAAGGGGAUGUUUUUGGUUAUACAUAGCCAUUAUAUAUUUACGUUUUCCCAAAUACUAUAUCGGAUUGCCUUUAUUUAGCCAAACAUCUAAUGGAAAAUCAUUUUUGUUCUUAGAAAAGUGAUCACUGCUAUCUAUAUUCUCUGGUUAAGUAAUUUCAACCAUCCAUGAUUAUAGACUGAGGGGCUUGCUGCAUUACAGUACCUAUACUAACGGGCAGGAUCAUCUUGCAGUGAAAAAAAUUAGCCGUCACAAAGCUGUCCCGUUUCUUGCAGCACUCAAGUGUGUUCUUGAAUUAGUGACCUUGACAUCUGGCAAUAAUGCAUGAAUUUGAUUACCAUGUCUCCAGCACUCGGUAAUCAAGACGAGUGCAGAUACACAUUGUGGGUUAUUUGGAAAGAUCGGUCCACAAAGAUGACAUUUUAUUCCCCAUAUGUGUCAAACUAAGAUAUUCUGAAUGUAUUUGGGUUUUGUAGAACACUGAUGUACCCAAGAGCUUGAACCAAACUCCUCAUUCACUUUGAUAAAAACCUAUGCAACACCCCAUUUGUUAUAACAUAGGUUGAAGGUAUAAUUGUUUUGUUCUAAUAAAUGUGCCCUGGCAAUCACUGCCUGUUGUCGGUGCGGAAAAUGGAGAACAGCUGUAAUUUGAAUGCUAGUGCUGCCAUCUUGUGGUACAUUUUGUAAU